AGUUCAAAGUUUGCUUGGUUUUAUGCUGGUGCAUAUCUGAGUAUCAGAUGGUGCCACAGGUCAGACUCCAGCAGUUCUUUCAGGAAUCAGCAGACAGAGGAAACAAACACCACAGACGCUGCUUUUCCAGUGCUUUGAAAAACAUUUGUUUCAGUAAUCAGUAAUGCUCUUCAGGGGAUCAGUCUGAUCGUCAUACACACACCCUCAACCUCCUCUGCUGCCGUGCUGCUUCUAACUCUUCUUCUUCUAUGCAGAGGUUAUUCUCAGGGUGGACAUUGGCAGCAAAUAGUGGGUCACGUUGGCAAAGAUGUUGUUUUACCCUGCUUCUUGAAAACUCCCAUGGACGCUUCACAACUGCAGUUCGAGUGGGCGAGAACUGACCUGACACCAGGAUUCAUAUAUGUGUGGGACAAAAAUAAAGAAAAUGUGGAGUUCAAACAGCCAUCAUAUCUGGGAAGAACCUCACUGUCCUUUGAUAAACUGAAGCAUGGAGAUGUCUCACUGACUCUCUCCAAAGUAGAGCUGCCUGAUGCAGGACCGUACAGAUGUUUUAUUCCU